rnacentral:rRNA from 1 species
AACUAACAAGGAUUCCCCUAGUAACUGCGAGUGAAGCGGGAUGAGCUCAAAUUUAAAAUCUGGCGGUCUUUGGCCGUCCGAGUUGUAGUCUGGAGAAGUGCUUUCCGUGCCGGACCGUGUACAAGUCUCUUGGAACAGAGCGUCAUAGAGGGUGAGAAUCCCGUCUUUGACACGGACUACCGGUGCUUUGUGAUGCGCUCUCAAAGAGUCGAGUUGUUUGGGAAUGCAGCUCAAAAUGGGUGGUGAAUUCCAUCUAAAGCUAAAUAUUGGCGAGAGACCGAUAGCGAACAAGUACCGUGAGGGAAAGAUGAAAAGCACUUUGGAAAGAGAGUUAAACAGUACGUGAAAUUGCUGAAAGGGAAACGCUUGAAGUCAGUCGCGUCGUCCGGAACUCAGCCUUGCUUAUGCUUGGUGCAUUUUCCGGUUGACGGCCAGCAUCGAUUUUGAUCGUCGGAAAAUGGCUUGAGGAAUGUGGCACCUUCGGGUGUGUUAUAGCCUCUUGUCGCAUACGUCGGUUGGGAUCGAGGUUCGCAGCGCGCCUUUAUGGUCGGGGUUUAUCCACGUUCGCGCUUAGGAUUGCUGGCGUAAUGGCUUUAAACGACCCGUCUUGAAACACGGACCAAGGAGUCUAACAUGCCUGCGAGUGUUUGGGUGGAAAACCCGAGCGCGUAAUGAAAGUGAAAGUUGAGACCUCUGUCGUGGAGGGCAUCGACGCCCGGCGCUGACGUUUACUGAAGCUGCCGCGGUAGAGCAUGUAUGUUGGGACCCGAAAGAUGGUGAACUAUGCCUGAAUAGGGUGAAGCCAGAGGAAACUCUGGUGGAGGCUCGUAGCGAUUCUGACGUGCAAAUCGAUCGUCAAAUUUGGGUAUAGGGGCGAAAGACUAAUCGAACCAUCUA